UGGUUCUCUUGGGAUGAGUGCUUGAAAGUCUCAUUGUGUGUGUGUGUGUGUGUGUGUGAUUUAUCAAGCUUGAAGGGAGGAGAGAGCGGGGCAUAGGGAGGCAGAUGACACCAGUGGCAAGCAGGCACUGUUCACUUCCAACCGGCUGCUUCUGCGUCGCUGUGUGUGUUAACUCCACGUCUGAACUAUAUGAGAUCACAGCAGCCUCUCCUCCCUGCAGACUGUUGGAACAAGGUUGGGGGGUGGACAACACCUCAAUUUUUUGGGAGCGUUCUGAAGGAACCGGAGGAAAUGUGGAGCUUGACUUGAACUCCUGGAUGUGCAUUGGCGCUGGCAGUUGUCUUAUGCAUCUGUCAUUCUAGGGUCUCGGGAAGGUUAGUUACCCAGACACUGAACCGGUCACAUCCCAAAGGGCCCACUUGGUGUCCAACCACAGCUAAAUUCCAGCGUGGACCAACCUGCUUGCACGGUCACAGCUGCUGGAUGGAGCACAAGAAGCUCAAACAGAAGAUGAUGCAGACAGAACCGUGGACUUUGGCCGUGGUGGGGAGGGUUCCUGGCACCGUGAUUUGACGCACAAAGACACAGAAAAAUCACAUUGCCAGGGAUUUCCACUCCCUCACGGCUGACCGGGUUCACCCCAAUUGGUAAAAUUGGACAAUGGCCCACUUAAGAAAAAAAAAAUAAUAAAAAAAAAUUUUGAAAUCAUUUUUGACUACACCUGCUCCAACACAAGAGCUGUACCAAAGGUCUGCCAUUUUUGUUUGUGUGUAAUCUUGCUUCCUAAAAACUAACGACAAUGUGUGACGGAGCAUUUAUUUUCAUAUUUAAGGACUUUUUUGGCUUCUAGAGUUUCCCCACGUCCGUCUUGUACAACUGGUUGUCUCCUUAGUGCCGUCUGUCCGGCAGAUUAGCCAAUCCACUCAUCUCUCCCUUGUGUCCCUUUGGUCCCCUCUUUUCAUGUUCUUGUUAGAUAAUUGCUUUGUGUUGUUGUUGACUUAUCCAUACAUCCAUUUUCUUCUGCUUAUCUGAGGUCGGGUCGCGGGGGCAGCAGCUUAAGCAGGGAACCCCAGACUUCCUUCUCCCCAGCCACUUCGUCCAGUUCUUGUGGCGGAAUCCCGAGGCAUUCCCAGGCCAAGUGAGAGACGUAGUGUCUCCAGCGUAUCCUGGGUCGUCCCCGGGGCCGGUGGGAGGCGUCCAGCGGGUAUCCUAACCAGAUGCCUGAGCCACCUCAUCUGGCUCCUCUCAAUGCGGAGGAGCAACAGCUCAACUCUGAGCCCCUCAUGGAUGACCGAGCUUCUCACCCUACCUCUAUCUCAUCCUAUCUCUAUCUCUUGGCUGAUUUUGAUCACAAGCUAGGAAAAACGUUCAAAUUUGGCCCAAUUGUCAGGUCGUGUGUACCUUGCUUUAGUUAGUUGACAGAAUUAGACACAAGCUACACAAUCACUUUCCAGAAAACCUUAUCGAGAGCUGGCUCAUGGAUCAAAGUGCAGAUGGAGGAAUUUAUGUAUACAUUUAUUUUGUUGUUUAUGUUGUGCAGUGAUCCACCAAAUCCAGCUGAUGGAAGUGUGGUGAAAAGUGUGGUUGUGUGUGGCAGUUUUCACCCAAUUUGGCAUGUGCAUUACUGCCACCAACAGGACUGGAGUUUAAUAGUAUUUUGAUACUGCUGUUCAGGAAUGUUUGGCCUACUCAGUGCCAUUCUAUUUUUAUUUUUUAUUUUUUUAAAGGCAGACCUUUUGGUACAGCUCUUGUAUUGGAUCUUAUUUUAUUGAGCUAAUCUUCCUUUUAUUUGUGGCUGAUGAAUCUAUGUUGGAAUAGUGUUAAAAUAGCAACACGUUCUUCUUCAUGCACAUGACAUAAAAAAGAGUGGGACUAUUUUGACAUGUGAAAAGAAGGUGAGGAAUCUCCAGUGCAUGCGCAUGAGGCCCAACCGCUUGCUUAAGGCACAGAGCUUAGCUAAUUGGUGAGCAUUGAUCCCUGCUAUGUUUUGUUCACAGUGGCUAAGUUCAGUGCCUGAGGUGAAAUGGUUGAUUCGACUGAGAGGAUUUGUUCUGGUGAAUGGAAAGAACUUGAUGAUCUCAGAUAUGGAGGAAGGAGGUGGAGUGAGACCAAAGGGAGGGAGUGAUCCAGAGUGUGAGCUGUACUUGAUUUAAAUGCAACUCUACACCAUUUGUGGAUAUAUCUGACAAAAAUGAUGUAUGUCACAUAUAUUUUAAAGCAUUUAAGGGUGAUGUUGGAUGACAAAACUCCACAAGUGCUUUCACAGUUGGAGGAAUGUGGUACUGAAUGUUGGACUUGUUUAGGUGUGUCCGUGUUCAUGUGAGAUGAUGUCUCUGGGCAGCUGUGCCAGUUUUAAGUUGCCACACGCAGGUCUCCAAUGAACAGGAAACUGGCGCGUUGCAAUUCUGCUGUAAUCAAAUCAGGCAAGCAAAUGUAACGAAAUAGGUUAAAAUAUUGCAUUCGUUAUUUAAUGCAAUGUUCCAUCCAACCAUUUUCAAUAGCACUUUGUCUUCAUUUAGGUUGUGGGUGAGCUGGAGCCUAUCCCAGCUGAUUGGACACAUAUAGACAAAAAUAUUCCCACCUAUGGACAAUGCACAAUCUCAUUUAACCUAACAUACAAGUUUUUGAAAUAUGGGAGGAAGCCAGAGUAAUGGGGUAUAUGUUGCGAUGGCGCGUUGACGGAAGGUCGUGUUGAGUCGAGUCGCGCUGCGCCUCGAGUUGAAAAAUGUUCAACUCAGGAGCACCGUCAAUGUGAAGUCAGAUGCCACGUCCAAUAGGUUGGGAAGAACAAAAGAACAAAACGAAGAAAAGUGUGGUGUGGUCACCAGUGCUCGGGAGUGUCCUGUCCAUUCAAGAGGAGCUUGAGGUAUGUUCACGUACUUUUAAUACAAUACGGCUCGCAAGCAGGCAACAUAAUGUUAUGUAGCCGAGCAAGGUAGUGCUAGCACUAACGUUUGUAUGUAAAUGUUGACUCAUGCUCGGUUCGGUAAAGGUUCAGUAAAUUGGUUCAUGCGCGUGAAUAAAUGUUGACAACAGCGACCAUGUAUGUUGGCAACGGCAAGCACGGUAGGCAAAGCGGCGGUCACACAUACACAAUCCUAAUGGUCGAUGUCGAGGUGCGCUGUUGGAGAGUUGUCGUUGCUAUGUCACACUACACGGAAGAUAUAAAAAAAAAUCUGACUUUUCAUUUUGCCGUCGUCAGGCUAUCGUAGGGCCAAAUCGUUGGUUGUGGAUUAUGUCACACUACAAGAAAUGUUGUCGUUCCCAACAAAAUUUGUCCAGCACGAUCUGGAUACUCGGCCCCGUUAUGUUAUCGGGGCUAAAAUCCUGUAGUCUGAUCUAGGCAUAAUGAGGACAAGCACGAUAGAAAAUGGAUGGAUUAUAAUAUUGCUCAUAUUGUAUUGAGCAGCCAGCUUCUUUCCCAUGUCACAAUAAGUUGCAUUUCUAUGUUUAUUAGUUUUCAUCCUAUUACUUUUCCACUUUGCCAUCACUGGUACCCUUCUAUGGUGGCAUCGCAAAAUGAUGAAGUAUUGAUUUACCGAAGAUUUAGGUUAAAUUCCACUCUACUGUUUUCUCAAAACCUGCAGGAGCAGGGACUCAGUACUAUGAACAAACAUUCCCUUUAUGAACAUAAAUUGUCUUGUUGCAGCUAGGCUGUCUGAGUAAUGAUCUUUAGCUUCUUAUCCGCAGGCUAAUAAAUUAUUUAGUGCAUGCAAGAGCCUAGAUCUCCUUCGACGAUGGCUCCUUGUAUUUCCAUGUUCUCUUUUAUUGUACUAAAAUCAAUAUGGUUACUUGACCCCCAUAAGGAAUUUCUGACGCCAGCUGUGAGAGGCUUAAAAAUCCGCUCCGGUCUAACACAGGAACAUAUGUCGUAAUGUGGGGGGAAUGUUGGGUAACAGUGAUAGCAUUGGCUCUCUCUGAUAAACAAUAAAAGGUCAACCUGAGACAGUUGCUUCAUCCGUGGAGCCAUUGUUGCUGCAUUCUGCCAGCCGCGUAGGCUUUAGAAAAUCAAUGGUUGAAGAUAUUUCCAGUAUUACAUGUAACUUGACAUCACAAUACCCGCUGAAAUGAAUACUGAGAUGUUGUCAUCCAGCCAAAAUGUCAACGAGAGAAAUCAGUUGAGGACAUGAUGUUGGUUAAAACAUCACAAUAUACCACUGAUUUCCAACCACUGUUCCACAGCACUUUAGUGUGCCAUGAGAGAUUAUUAUCCAAUUUCACAUACUAGUCUAAAAAUUAUUGUUAUAUUACAACUGUUAACUGGUUACGAGAGGAAGCUGUAGUACCUGGAAAAACCAAGCUUAGAUUCGACCCUGCAACCUUUUGACUGUGAGGAGGAUGUGCUGACCACUAAUUUACUGUGCUGCUCUUGAACCAAUAUUAUGUGAUCGAUUGAUAUUGACCUGCUCCAGAGGCACACUUGUGUGCCGUUAUACUAUAUUGUGUUUUUGUAUAAUAAUAAUAAUAUUAAUGGUUUCUAUAAUUAUUAUGUGAUUGUGGUAGUAUUAAAAGGGAGUGUGCAAAAACCAAAAAAUAAAUCACCUUUUGCCAUAUUUGUUAAAAGAGUCGUAAUGAUUUGACGGAGUUCUUAAAGGCACUGGAUGUUUUGGGGCUGUCCUGGUUCAUAGGUACCUGUGCCCCUGGAUUGGCAGAUCUGGGUGCUGAAGCCCCUUUUUAAGAAGGGGGACCGGAGGGUGUGUUCCAACUAUAGGGGGGUCACACUCCUCAGCCUCCCUGGUAAGGUCUAUUCAGGGGUUCUGGAGUUGAGAGUCCUUCAGAAAGUCAAACCUCAGAUUCAGGAUGAGCAGUGUGGGGGUUUUUCCUGGCUGUGCAACAGUGGGCUAGCUAUAGGCCCUCAGCAGGGUUGUGGAAUUGGAGAAGGCAUUCGACCAUGUCUCUUGGGGAGUCUUGUGUUUGGAGCUCUGGGAAUUUGGGGUACCAAGCCCCCUGUUCAGUCCCUGUACAAGCGUUAUCAGAUCUUUGGUCUGCAAAUAAUCCAGUAAUUUGGAUUAUUUUUCUGUGAUGGUUGGACUCAGCAAAGGCUGCCCUUUGUCUGCGAUUUUGUUCAUAACCUUUAUGGACAGAAUUUAUAGGCACAGCCGAGGCGUGGAUGGGGUCCAGUUUGAUGCCCUCAGUAUUACGUCUCUCUUUUUUGCAGAUUAUAUGGUUGUGAUGAUUUCUUCAGCUCUUGCUGGAGCGGUUUGCAACCGAGUGUGAAGCAGUCACAGAAUGGUGGAGUGCCCUCUCCAGGUCGGGAAUGAGAUGCUGCUCCAAACGGAGGAGUUCGGUAUCUCAGGGACUUUUUCACAAGUGUGGGAAUAAUGGAGCGGGUGUCCGGGCUCUCCCUUAGAGAUAGGGUGAGAAGCUCGGUCAUCUGGGAGGGGCUCAGAGUCGAGCUGCUGCUCCUCCACAUCGAGAGGGGCCAGAUGAGAUGACUCGGGCAUCUUGUUAGGAUGCCUCCGGUCUUCCCUGCUUAAGCUACUGCCCCCGCGACUUGACCCUAGAUAAGCGCAAGAAGGUGGAUGGAUGGAUGGAUGGAUGGAGUAGUAUAUGAUGAAUAUGAUCUUUCGCCACAUUUUGUGCCUUUAAUUUGAUACACAUUACAUGAAACCACCAUUCCCGGGGAUAAACAACCGAUUAGAGACAGAAGGCGUGACAUACGAUGUAUCAAUUACCUGACCUGUUACCUCGUUACCCCAGAAAAUCACUUUAUGAGUCAUGGACUGUUAUUGAAACACUUAAAGUAAAUAUUUUAUGUUAUAUUGGUUUUUUUUUUUUGUCUCAUAAUGACGGUUUUAACAAAUAUGACUAAAAGUUAUUAUUAUUAUUAUUUUUAAUUGCAAACUCCCACCUAAGAGUUGAAGUCAGGCCUCAUGCAGACCAAGGUACCAAAUGUCUGUUACAAGUCGCGUAGCAGUUGUACAUUAACAGCAUAUAAUUCAGGCAGUUUUCUAUUGUUUUUAUAUUUGACUGAAUUAUUUAAAUCUUGUCAAAUUUAGCAAGCCUACUAUUGGCAACACCAAAGCACCUAGUGGGCUGUGCCCUCCCGUGCCUACUGAACUGGUAUCAGUGUUAGAACUAAAAACUGGCUCAGUUCAGCAGGAACAGGAGUGGAGCCUAAUGUCGAGAAGGAGAAGUGACAUCACCACCAUCCAGAGAGCCAAACGGUCAGUGCUUGAAUCACAAACUCCCAACCAUCAGAUCGCACUCUGUCAGGAGUUCUUGGCCCUCAUCAGAUUCAAGAUGACAGCACUGGGCCCAGAAGUGUUCACAAGGAUGUUGCAGCUGCAGAUGACUGUCACUGCAGCUAUGAAUGUUUCUUGAGCUGAACAUUUUGUUGCUUGGUAGGUAGCAUCUGCACGCUUGUGUGAAUACUGUUACAUAUAAAUGCGGUUGAUCUG